GAUGAACGCUGGCGGCGUGCCUAAUACAUGCAAGUCGAGCGAACAGACGAGGAGCUUGCUCCUCUGACGUUAGCGGCGGACGGGUGAGUAACACGUGGAUAACCUACCUAUAAGACUGGGAUAACUUCGGGAAACCGGAGCUAAUACCGGAUAAUAUAUUGAACCGCAUGGUUCAAUAGUGAAAGACGGUUUUGCUGUCACUUAUAGAUGGAUCCGCGCCGCAUUAGCUAGUUGGUAAGGUAACGGCUUACCAAGGCGACGAUGCGUAGCCGACCUGAGAGGGUGAUCGGCCACACUGGAGCUGAGACACGGUCCAGACUCCUACGGGAGGCAGCAGUAGGGAAUCUUCCGCAAAGGGCGAAAGCCUGACGGAGCAACGCCGCGUGAGUGAUGAAGGUCUUCGGAUCGUAAAACUCUGUUAUUAGGGAAGAACAAAUGUGUAAGUAACUAUGCACGUCUUGACGGUACCUAAUCAGAAAGCCACGGCUAACUACGUG
rnacentral:rRNA from 1 species